GGCGGCGCGAGGCAGAGCCAGAGCCCGGGGUCGGUCAAUCAGGUGCGGGCGGCUGGAGCAUGGCUUUGUGAGGCCUCUGAGGGGACCCGGCGGUGGCGGCCACGGCGGGACGGGCCGCCCACCAGUUGAACUCCGACAGCUGAGGCGGCUGAGGAGAUUAGACUCCAGAGAUAAUGAUAUUAGGAAAUCCAAACUGAAAUGGACCCCAGAGCAAUUGAAGAAAGAAAGAGUCAAGGGUUCUCAUUGGUGCACCACUGAAAACUACUUACAAAGAGCCACAAGGAUUACUCAAGAGCAAGAGACAUUCACAUUUGUGCCCUUAAAUGGCAUGAGAAAACAAACUGUUACCAAUGUGAAUUCUCAGCUCUUCUUUCCAAACAACAGCUAUGCCAUUUCACAUGCCAUCUUUCUUCUGGAGCAGCAGCUUCUCUAAUUAAUUUCAUAACAAUAUUGUUGUAACAAGGAUGGGCUAUUUGUUCUGGAUGGGCUAUAUCAUUCUGAAAAAUUUGAAAGGGCAGAGUGUUUAAAUGAAGAAGUUUAAAUUUUGAAAAAUAUGAAAAGCAGAGUAUAGUGAUAUGAAGGCAUCCAAAUAGAAUCACCAGUGCUUCCCUGAGGCAAAAUUGAAAUAUAGGGACAAUUUGUCUCCAUCUUUCCUCUAUCAUCCUUUUCAAAUCUCUCCCUUGCCAUUGAGAAAAUGGGUCCUUACACUUUACCAUGUCCGCCUGGACUCUCUCCGUUAUGUAACACCAUCUGGACUUGCAACCACUGGACCAGGCCUCAUCCCUUGUCUGCUCUUCUUCUAUCAAAAUGUACUUGUUUUGUGUCGUAUGUCUUACUGUAAUGAAGUGACACAUUCAUUUACUUGAAUUUAUGGACGGAAAAUUAUUGCUGGUUUACUAUUUUGACCUCUUGGAAUUAUUAGUAUGUUCACAGGCACUCCAGGGAAGAUAAUUUUUAACUCAAAGGGAGAACUGUAAUUUCAAGCCAUCGCUAGGUUAGUGGAGUCAAUAUUUUGGAGAGGGAGGUUUAAGUCUGUAACAGAGAAGUUGCCCUCUUUGUUUAUGUAUUAGCUGGCCCUGUAAUGUGGCCAUUAUUUUGGUAAAUAACACAAUACAAAUAUCUUCAAGGUAUGCAAGCAAGUGCAUUCUAUAGGACAUUUUCUGUUGGAAGAAAACAUAUGCUUUUGCUGAGAAUAACUUUUCUACAUUAUGUUCUCCUUUUCGUGAAUUAUUUUUUACAAAGAGAAUGAAACAUCUCUUCCAUCUUCCUUCAGUUUCACAAUCAGAGUGUCCAUUUUUGUUACGCUCAAUCAGCUCUAAUCAUUAAUUUGAAAAUCUGAAAUGUGUUAACCCAGGUACAUUGCUCAUCCUGCUGACUCUAUGAGUAGCACAUUUAUCAAUUCUGCCAUGUGCAAUGUUCAAUGCUAUGUUGGUUGCUGCAUGCAACUAAUUUUUUUUCUUUUUGGCAGAAACUGGCUGACUGCUAUUUAAUCAAGGGAAUGUAGUGGCAGCUUCAAGUUUAAAAUAUUUUGAAAUGAUACAAGAGCGAUUCUCUUCACUUGACUCCAAGGUUGUCUGUUCCUUAGAAAUAAAUUUACUCAAGUCUAUAGUUUUGGGGGUUCAGCAGAAUGGACAUUAAGUAAAUUAUUAAUAUUUUUAUAUAUUGCUGGCAAAAUGUAUCUAUUAAAUGUGUGAACAUUUUUACAGUUGAAUCAGAAGAGAAUUGCCAAUGGGGGCAAAGCAUUGCCAAAUAGAUGUAUAAUUUGUCAUCAUAAUACAGCUAAUACUUCUUCCUUGACUUGGCACUGAACAGGACAGAAUCUGUAGCACAUUUUGAGACUGUACUGUUUUCUACCUUCUGUGUCUUAUGACCUUUCUCAAAUUCCUUUGCUGAAUCAGUAUCUAUAAAAUAUUACAAAAAGCAUUUGAUGUGUAAGCCAUUAAAAUGGGCUGAUGAGCAUUUUCCCCCAAGAGGCCUUAAAUAAUUGGUAAUUGUUUAUGUCAUUAUUAUUAUUACUGUUAUCAUUCAUUCUUAGAUGAAAUUUCAGUCCCAUUAGCACUAUAGGAUUAAUAAGCAACCCGACUUUCCAAACCUAGCCUUUUGUGUACUUGGUAGCUAGAAACUAAGUCAAGGCAGGCUCCAUCUAUGUUGACAUUUUUCUAAAUGUUUAAAAAACUUACUUGAGCACAAAUGGUCUGUAUGGAAACAUAUGUAGGAAAACAUCCUGAGUAUUUAAUAAACACAAUUAAGUGCAUUUUUAAAUAAAU
rnacentral:lncRNA from 1 species